CUAUUAGCAUUCUUGGUGUGUUUCUUCUCCCCGAAGCUCUAGCUUUCACCUCAUUGUAACCAUGGCACACUCACAAUUGUAUAUCCAAUUUUUUGUGGCCUAAUAUUAUAUCCUAAACUUUUUUUGGCAUCAUACACAACCUAAAUAACUAUGAUUUUAAUCCUGCCUAAUAUUCCAUGGAUUUUGGCCAUAAUUUACUUAGGUGUUCUAUUAACGAGUAUUUCACUAUCAUAAGUAAUGCUGCAAUGAACAUCUUUGUAUUUACUGUUUUCUUCCCCAAUAUUUGGGAUUUUUCCUUAAGGUAAAUUUUCAACAUAUAUGCCAUAUUUGGGUCAAAGGGAGUGACUGGUUUUUUUGACUAAGCAUCAAUGCCGCAAGCAUAGGAGAGUAUCCGGUUCAAUGCAACACUGUCAACAUUGAUGAUCUCUUUUUAUCCUCAUUUCAUAGCCUAAUUUUAAAAAGACCUCUUUGUUGUUCUAAUUUGCUUUUUUGUGGGUUCUUAGAGAAGGGAGUCAGUAUCAUCAUUUUUAAGAGUUAAAAGCUUUGGAUUUAGGCUGGAGUUGAAAAUAAAAUUCUGCUAUUCCAUGAGCUAUGGUGCCUUACUUAAUUCUCUCUAGCCCCAUCCAGUCUUCUCAUCUGUAAAGUGGGGAUAAUACCACCUACCUACAGGACUGGCAUUAGAAUUCCAUGAAAUCAUUUAUCUUAGUCCAAUUCCUGGCAAAUGAUUAGCACCACAUGUUUCUGGUUGUAGUUUAUCAAUAACUUUAAAGCAUUAAGAAGUGUUAUUACACAGUCAAUAAACAUUUAUGGAGGUUCUGGGGAUGCAAGAAAGAAUAAACCAUGGGUCUUGUCCUUGAAGAGGUCCCAGUCUGGGAGGGGAUAAAUAAGUAAGAAUAAAACAAGUGCUUAGUGUUACAGUAAAACCCAGACUGAGGCCGGGUUUUUAACAUUAUAGUAUGUUGGUUUGGGACAUUGUUUUUUUUCAGACAAUAGACAGCCUAGUGGGGAAACAGGGCCGUGGUAGCCCAUUCUCAGAAGUGGGCAGUUGUCAAAGAAACACUAUCCUUAAAAGCCCUUUGCUUCUGCUCAAAGUGGUGGGUGGAUGGGUGGGUGGAUAGAUGAAUGGAAAUUUAAUGCCAUCUCCUUGUUGCUCAGCUCAUUUCACAGCAAAGUACUCUAUCAGCUAAAAAACAACUCUAGAGUAUCCUUGAAGUCAAAAGAGAAGAAGGGAGAGGAAGGCCAGGGCUUUGGGCUCUCUUAUCUCAAUGGCUUGAAGGUUUUGGUGUUGAAGGGAUGAAAGCUGAAAUUCCUAGGCAGGAAAAGAUAACCCACUCCUCCUUUUAUUCACUAAAUUAUCUCAGAAAGGAUGGAAGCGAAUGCUUAGAAUGGAAUGAAUCAAAAUGACCAAGCCAUUAGGGAGAAGAGGAAGUGGAAGGAUAGGGUUCUUGGAAGUUUCCAAGUGGGACAGAGACCAAAUGGCACAUGGUACCCAUGAUGAGGACUUGCUGUGAUGGGGCAGGGGGAGAAGGUAAUUAAAUACUACUAUCUGCCGCCUUCAGAUCUACAUGAAAAGACCCCUGUGGCCAAGCGUAGCACAAGGGCUGAGGGGUUCCCCACCUUCUAAACACGGUGACCGGCAUGGACUCAGACCAGAGCGGACUGGGUAAGACCCUCCAGAAUGUUUCUAGUACUCAGUAGUGGAGGGAAGGCAAGGAACAGAAACCCAUUUGAAGACUUGAUCUUGCCAGCUUAGAAAGAUGGACACUCAGAAGAGGUGAAUUCGGACUUACAGAAUCAAAAAGACAUGUGCUAUCUCUUAACUCUAGCGUUGUCAUCUAAGCGCCUCUUGUUGAAGUACCUCCUAAAGCCCAGUAAGCCAAUGCUUGUCCCCGGAUGGGCACAGGUUGUGUAAGUCACCUUUUCCCACCAGCAUUCCCCGUGACACAGCUGUCUUUUCAGUCUCAUAUUGCUUUGCCUCCUGUAUUAGUCAGGGUUCUCUAGAGGGACAGGACUAAUAGGAUAGAUGUAUAUAUGAAUGGGAGGUUAUUAAGGAGUAUUGACUCACAAGGUGAAGUCCCACAAUAGGCCGUCUGCAAGCUGAGGAGCAAAGAAGCCAGUCCAAGUCCCAAAACCUCAAAAGUAGGGAAGCCAACAGCACAGCCUUCAUUCUGUGACUGAAGACCCAGGAGCCCCUGGCAAACCACUGGUGUAAGUACAAGAGUUCAAAAGCUGAAGAGUCUGAUGUUCAAAGCUUGGAGUUUGAUGUUCGAAGGCAGGAAGCAUCCAGCACAGGAGAAAGAUGGAGGCCAAAAGACUCAGCCAGCCUAGUCCUUCCACAUUCCUCUGCCCGCUUUUAUCCUAACCACGCUGGCAGCUGAUUAGAUGGUGCCCACCCAGAUUGAGGGUGGGUCUGCGUCUCCCAGUUCACUGAUCCGAAUGUUAAUCUCCUGUGGCAACACCCGCACAGACAAACCCAGGAACAAUACUUUGCAUCCUUCAAUCCAAUCAAGUUGACACUUGAUAUUAACCAUCACACCUCCUAUGUACCCUAAAUACAGAAUAUAUUGAUCUACUGUUUAAAACCUUUCUGAGGAAUUUAUUGUCCUCAGAAUAAAUCUAAACUCUUUAGCCAGGCUGUAAGGUCCUUCAUGUGAUGUACCCUGCUGACCCCCAGCUUUAUCUCUCCACACCCCUUACCCCCAAAGUCACACUGGCCUUCUUUCAGUUUUUUGAGCAAGUCUUCUUGUCUCAAUAUCUUCGGGCAUGCUAGUCUCUCUGCCUGAAUACUCUUCCUCCCAGCUACUUAGAUAUCUCUCUCACACACACACCCUGACCAUCUCUUCCCAUCCUUCAGAUCUCAAUCUCCCUAGAAUGCCUCCUAGGACCACAACAUUGGGUCUUAAAAUCAAUGUGCACAUUGAAAGUGGUUGUGUUUCAUUCCUCCUGCCCCCCAGUAAGUUUUCAUAUUAAAUCAACAGUGUAUUGUCUAAUCAGUGUGCAUGUUAGAUUUUUAAAACUACAGUCAUUGUUGAAUGAAUGAAAUACAAGUCCUCUGCCCCUUCACCCACAGUGCAUUCUUCUCUGCUUCUGAGGCCAGCCCACUCACUUCCUUGUCCUGAAAUCAUUCAGUCUGUCCCCUCUGCCUGCUCUGGCUUCUACUGUAGAUCUACAGCCAUACUCAGAAAACUCCAGACAGGUCUGCCUUCUUUACAAAGUAGAGGGGCGAUGCUGCCUGCCAUUUCAUCAUGGGGCCCCUCAGAUCUCAUGGGUUUAAGGUGCCAAUGCCUUAACCCAGGUGAGAGUCUCUGAUCCCCAACAAUCUAAGCAGCCAAGCAUGCGGUGGAGUUUCCUGCAGAAGAACCAAGUUGGUACUUUUUUCAAUGUUCUAGACUGAAUUAUUAUAGCCAGAGGGAGCCAUUCAUCAGCUCUGACACUGCAGGAAGCUUCCUAGGCAAACAGCUUUAUUGCUGCGUGAGAUUAACCCAGACUGUAGUAAUUUGUAACAAAGAUAAGAAAAUUGCACUGGUCUCUCAGAAAUAAAUCUGAAUUCCAGAGUGGACAAAGGGGACUUCAACUUGAAAUCUGCUAUUUCAGAUAUAAUCAAAUUUAUAACAGCCCCUGAAGAGUAUAAAAAGCCAAGGGCAGCUUCCUGUUGGAGGUGUCACUUCAGGACCCACCAUUAUGAAAUCAAUUUAGCUGGAAUUCCUAACAAGCCAGGAGCCCAAGCCUCACCUAACUUUUAUGGAAGACUAUUUGGACUACUUGAGCGUCAUUCCCUCAUCUGUCUACCUUCACGAUAUGAGCAGAUGUCAUGGGGUAAGAAAUGCAGGCUGGGAUGUGAGGUCAGGCGACCUACCUCUUACCAGCUGUAAAAUCUUGGAGAAACAGAGACGAUAACGGAGGCCCCUCCCAGAGCUGUUGUGAGGAUUAAAUGAGAUAAGAAUGUGAGAGUGGAAUACAGAUGUCAGUUAUUAAUGAGAGUCUGGUAACCUGAUAGACAUGAUGGGUUGAACUCUUACAGGUGCUCUGAGCAAGACUUCACUUUACCAGCUUGGCCUCAUUUCACUCUCCCAAUAAUUGCACAGUCAGGGAACUGUAAUUAUGCCCAUUUACAAAUGAAGAAACAGAAGGCCAGAGAGGUCAUGGAACCUACCCAAGGUCACACAGCCAGUAGGUGGCAUAAAAUGGCCAAGUGUUCUUGGCCACUAUAGAGUGCUUUCUGCUAUGCAGCAGUUGCUGUGCUAGACACAGGGAUAUAAAGGUGACACUCCUGUGGUACCAGACCUGGCAGAGCACACAGCCUGGCUGGAACGCACACCUAUCAAUAAGAACCUUUACUAUAUUAAUAAUAAGUGUAAAAAGUAAAGUAGAGGUUCCUCUUCAAAGACUUUCCUCCCCAUUUAAUGAGGAAUAAAUAGUAACUUCUUUUAGAAGCAAAAUGUAUUCAAAGACCUGUGCUAACAGUCUUAAAUAUCUGCCAGCCGUGAUAAAGAAAUCAAUGUACUUUACGUUCUUAGCUCCCACAAUUUAGCCUAAAUAUUUGCCCUGGCAUGCUUAUACUGGUCCAAGCAAACAUUAGGUCGUAGCCUGUUCCUCUUCCUUAUUUGAAGGUGUUUUUUUUUUACCUUUCCCAGCAUUGCACAAGUUACUUCCUCCUUCCUUUGUUCUCCUCUGCCUUUGCCUCUCUUAAAAAGUUCAAGUUGCUAGCCAAUCGGGACAAACACAGAAUGUGAGGUCCUGUUCCAGCCAAUGGAAACUGGACACAGCAGUAGGGUGGACGCGUCAGGUUAUAAAUUACCCUGUCUCCUUUGUUAGGGGUACUCUCAUGGCAAAACUGCUGGCGAGUGUAUCCUUUCUGCAGGAAGCAAAAAUGGCCUUGCUGAGUAACAUUAAAUUUAUGUUCAAGUGCCAUUUCUUUAGGGCACCGGGGAACAAGCAUUUCAAACAUAAGUAAUGCUUUGUAAGCACAGUUCUAGGAGCUUUAUACAACUCUCAUUUAGGACUUACACAACCAGAGAGAAAGAUAGACACCAUUAUCACUGUACUGCAUGGACAAGGAAACAGGCCCUGAGAUCAUACACUGGUAAGCAGUGGGGCCAGGAAUCUAAACAAGGCUAUAUACUUAUUUCUCUAUUGCAGGAGUAGAUGCUAUAAGAGAAAGACUAGAAGGGUCAUGGGAAUCUGGGCUUGAAAAGGAGCCAAAACAUCUCCCCAGAAGAAGUAACUCUUGAGCUGCUUAUUUAAAAAGAAGUAGGAGUUUGUCCAGCAAACAAAGGGAAAAUCAAGUGAAAUCUCAGAUUGUCCUGCAGCCCUAAAGGACUCUACCCUUGCUGUGCAGGGUGCCAUCACAAUUGUCCAGCCUGACCACACAUACAGAAGGACAGCUGGCAAUAUUGAGCUGGCAGUGCUGGCGUUCAUCUAGAAGACAGGGACCCAUUUCACCAUCUCUGCACGCCCAAGGCCCACACAGUGCUCAGUGCCAUUCUGUAGACUUGAACUGAAUCCAGAGGACCUUGGACCUAGAAAAGCUCUUGAAGACUGGGUCAUCCAAGUUCCUAAUUUUAUGGGUAGGAAACUGAGUCCCAAAGAGGGAAAGAAUGGUGAGACUUUUCAAAUUCCAUGUGUACAUGGGUCCAGAGGGCCCCAAGGCAAAGGUGGCAGCAAGGAAGUAGCAUGGAGCCAGGGGAGCUGUCUGGAACCGGAUUUGGACUGGAGGCCAGAGUUAAGGUGGUCUCUGGAAGCAGAAAUGGGUAGGAGGCAGCAUAGCACGGAGGUUAUAGCCAGAUAGAUCUCAGAUUAAUUGGGGUUCUGCCUCCUGCUGGCCACAUAAGCUUGGACAAAUUAACCGCUGUGGGUGUCAGUUUCCAAAUUUGGAAAAUGGAGGCAAUAUCCCCCCACCAUAAGACUGUUGUGAAGAUUAAGGGAAAUUAUGCAUUUAAAAAACUCAACAUAGUGCCUGGUGUACAGCGAGUGCUCAACAAGCAGUACUGAUUACCAGGGUCACAGUUACACUUUAACCCAUGUUAAAAGGUGAACCCACUUAGAAGUGAACAGGCUGCUCUUCUCCGCAUGAAAUUCCCCCUCUUUACCGGCCUCCAUGUUCGCAGGGUCUCUGAAAAACAAAAAUACACAUUCUAGCAUUUUGCAGGGAGCCACAGAUGCUUCCCAUUGAUGCCUAUUAAAAAGGGGAUUGGUGAGGUUUGCUUCAGAAACUUUCAUGGGAAAAGUUCCCCAAAAUGCAUCCAAUCCAGAGGUGAGCACUGUACCUGGGUCACUCUGCCAGCAACUCCCUACAAAGCAUUCACCUCCCUCAAAUCUGUUCCUCCUUGAGGGUCCAGCAAGACGUCUCUUUUAUACUUCACCCAGAAAUAAAGUAAAUAUUUUUCAAUGAAAUUCAGCGAUUAAUUAAACACCGUCCCUCUUUAAUAAGAACGUUGAACCAACAGCCGGCUGCAUAUUCCGACAAGAAUAUUUAAAGCAAUUAAACUUUAGCUACUUUUAAAACAAAUUCUUUUAAAUGCUAAUGACCAUUGUUUUCACAUUUGAUAAGUAAAAUUUUGUGUCGAGCAAGGUUAGAUGAUUGCAAUGAUUUAAUUGUACUUCUCAAAGAAAGGAAAAUGUUAAGAAAAAAGCUAAGAUGGACCUCUUACCACAUUCCUACCGCAAAAUGUCCUGUAACAAUAGAAGCGUGAUUUGCUGAAAUUAAAAUGCUAUUAUGGUGAAAUUAGGGCUUCAAUAUUUUUAGCAGCUUUAAUAGGCCUUGCAUUUUAAGGGACAUCUGAUAAUAGAUAAUUACAUUUCAUCUUAAAGAAACUGAGUUGUUUUCUUAAGGAAAAUACUUUUCUUUCUUCCAGAGAGGUUAAAGCCGAGCCAUCAUUAGAAGCAGCACCAAGCUCGAGGUUCCUGCUUCAGCUUGGGAAAUAAAGAUUAGCAUAUAAAUAGCCUUCGGUGCCUGCUUGAUUCCAGCUAUUUUGCGUUUCAAUGUGGCAUCAGAAUGCACUUAGCAAGAAAUGUUCGAGAGGAGAAAGAGGUUUGUAAUAUGUCGCUUUUAUAGAGGGGGGAACUUUAAGUAUAAAAGAUCAUCCACUCCUCUGCGGGCUUGUUUUUUUUUCUUUUCUUUUCUUUUCUUUUUUUUUUUUCCUUUCAAUGUCCCAAUUACAGACUCCAAGGAGCCAACAGGCCCCCUAGAAUGGAGCCUUAGUUUAUGCUACAGCUCUUUCUCCAGACCAGGAAAAUAAAUCAAAAUGGUGUACAGGAAAUAAGAUAAAUAAGCGGACUUCCUCCCGGAUUCAGCUGGAGUCCUUGGGGGGCACAGCCAUGCCCUUUCUCCUCACCCCCACGCUACCCAUCAGCAGCAGGGACGUGGGAUGACUCCUCCAGGACCCAUUUGCUGGAGCAAUGAGGGACACUCCUGGCUUUCUGCCUGGAGGCCUGCUUCCCUCCUGGGAAAUCGUGGAGACUGGGCAUGGAGCCCGCGGUUCUUUCUGCCUCCCCUCCAGCCCCCACUCCCACCCCUACACACACACAUACCACAUUCACGCUGACUGGUUCAGGCUGAGUCUCCGGCUGUAGCAGGAUGACUCGCAGACCUCACACUUUUUCUGCUUGGCACGGGGCAGAGGGCAGUUCUGAAUGGUGCUACACGGCUGUUCUACGGGACCUUGUUUUUCCUGGGUGUGGCAGUGGUAAAGGGGUGUGGGCCAAACAGUGGUAGCCUCUAGUCUAGUUCCUGGGGUGGCUUGGGCCAAUCCAGAGCCCUGGGUUCUAAUCCAG
rnacentral:lncRNA from 10 species